GCAGGCUUACACAUGCAAGUCGAGGGGCAGCGUGGAGUAGCAAUACUCUGACGGCGACCGGCGGAAGGGUGCGUAACGCGUGAGCAACCUGCCCGUAACCGGGGCAUAACCGAUGGAAACGUCGCCUAAUUUCCCAUAACAACGGGGUCGGCAUCGGCCCAGUUUGAAAGCUACGGUGGUUACGGAUGGGCUCGCGAGACAUUAGCUGGUUGGUAGGGUAACGGCCUACCAAGGCGACGAUGUCUAGGGGUUCUGAGAGGAAGGUCCCCCACACUGGAACUGAGACACGGUCCAGACUCCUACGGGAGGCAGCAGUGAGGAAUAUUGGUCAAUGGGCGGAAGCCUGAACCAGCCAUGCCGCGUGCAGGAAUAAGGCCCUAUGGGUCGUAAACUGCUUUUGUGCGGGAGCAAUAAGGGCUACGCGUAGCCUGAUGAGAGUACCGUACGAAUAAGCAUCGGCUAACUCCGUGCCAGCAGCCGCGGUAAUACGGAGGAUGCGAGCGUUAUCCGGAUUUAUUGGGUUUAAAGGGUGCGUANGCUGUGCGUCAAGUCA
rnacentral:rRNA from 1 species